rnacentral:rRNA from 1 species
AGAGUUUGAUCCUGGCUCAGAACGUACGCUGGCGGCACGCCUAACACAUGCAAGUCGAACGAAGUAGCAAUACUUAGUGGCAGACGGGUGAGUAACAUGUAGGUAUCUGCCCUUUGGCCUGGAAUAACACGAGGAAACUUGUGCUAAUACCGGAUAAGUCUUCACGGAGAAAGCUUUAUGCACCAUUGGAUGAGCCUGCACUUGAUUAGUUUGUUGGUGGGGUAAUGGCCUACCAAGACUAUGAUCAAUAGCUGAUUUGAGAGGAUGAUCAGCCACAUUGGGACUGAGACACGGCCCAAACUCCUACGGGAGGCAGCAGUGGGGAAUCUUGCACAAUGGAGGAAACUCUGAUGCAGCGAUGCCGCGUGAGUGAAGAAGGCCCUUGGGUUGUAAAGCUCUUUCGUCGGGGAAGAAAAUGACUGUACCCGAAUAAGAAGGUCCGGCUAACUUCGUGCCAGCAGCCGCGGUAAUACGAAGGGACCUAGCGUAGUUCGGAAUUACUGGGCUUAAAGAGUUCGUAGGUGGUUGAAAAAGUUGGUGGUGAAAUCCCAGAGCUUAACUCUGGAACUGCCAUCAAAACUUUUCAGCUAGAGUAUGAUAGAGGAAAGCAGAAUUUCUAGUGUAGAGGUGAAAUUCGUAGAUAUUAGAAAGAAUACCAAAUGCGAAGGCAGCUUUCUGGAUCAUUA